rnacentral:rRNA from 1 species
UACGAAGGGGGCUAGCGUUGCUCGGAUUGACUGGGCGUAAAGGGCGCGUAGGCGGUGAGAUGUGUGGGAUGUGAAAGCCCUGGGCUUAACCUAGGAAGUGCAUACCAAACUAUCUGACUGGAGUAUAAGAGAGGGUGGCGGAAUUUCCGGUGUAGCGGUGAAAUGCGUAGAGAUCGGAAAGAACGUCGAUGGCGAAGGCAGCCACCUGGCUUAAUACUGACGCUGAGGCGCGAAAGCGUGGGGAGCAAACAGG